rnacentral:rRNA from 1 species
CACAGCCGCGGUAAUACGUAGGUGGCAAGCGUUGUCCGGAAUUAUUGGGCGUAAAGCGCGCGCAGGUGGUUUAAUAAGUCUGAUGUGAAAGCCCACGGCUCAACCGUGGAGGGUCAUUGGAAACUGUUAAACUUGAGUGCAGGAGAGAAAAGUGGAAUUCCUAGUGUAGCGGUGAAAUGCGUAGAGAUUAGGAGGAACACCAGUGGUGAAGGCGGCUUUUUGGCCUGUAACUGACACUGAGGCGCGAAAGCGUGGGGAGCAAACAGGAUUAGAUACCCGAGUAGUCCCUGUCUCUUAUACA